rnacentral:rRNA from 1 species
GAUGAACGCUGGCGGCGUGCCUAAUACAUGCAAGUCGAGCGAACAGACGAGGAGCUUGCUCCUCUGACGUUAGCGGCGGACGGGUGAGUAACACGUGGAUAACCUACCUAUAAGACUGGGAUAACUUCGGGAAACCGGAUCUAAUACCGGAUAAUAUAUUGAACCGCAUGGUUCAAUAGAGAAAGACGGUUUUGCUGUCACUUAUAGAUGGAUCCGCGCCGCAUUAGCUAGUUGGUAAGGUAACGGCUUACCAAGGCAACGAUGCGUAGCCGACCUGAGAGGGUGAUCAGCCACACUGGAACUGAGACACGGUCCAGACUCCUACGGGAGGCAGCAGUGGGGAAUCUUCCGCAAUGGGCGAAAGCUUGACGGAGCAACGCCGCGUGAGUGAUGAAGGUCUUCGGAUCGUAAAACUCUGUUAUUAGGGAAGAACAAAUGUGUAAGUAACUAUGCACGUCUUGACGGUACCUAAUCAGAAAGCCACGGCUAACUACGUG